ensembl:snRNA U6 U6 spliceosomal RNA
GUUCACUUUGGCAGCCCAUAUACUAAAAUUGGAACAAUAAAGAGAAGACUAGCAUGGCCCCUGCACAAACAUGACACGCAAAUUCGUGAAGCACUGCGUAUUUUU